UACGGAGGGGGCUAGCGUUGUUCGGAAUUACUGGGCGUAAAGCGCACGUAGGUGGCCUUGUAAGUUAGAGGUGAAAGCCCGGGGCUCAACUCCGGAAUUGCCUUUAAGACUGCAUCGCUAGAAUUGUGGAGAGGUAAGUGGAAUUCCAGGUGUAGCGGUGAAAUGCGUAGAUAUCUGGAGGAACACCGGUGGCGAAGGCGGCAUCCUGGACCGGUAUUGACGCUGAGGCGCGAAAGCCAGGGGAGCAAACGGG
rnacentral:rRNA from 1 species